GGCUAGGACGAACGCUGGCGGCGUGCCUAAUACAUGCAAGUCGAACGGUCUUUCUAUGGAAGCUUGCUUCCACUGAGAAGAUAGUGGCGGACGGGUGAGUAACACGUGGGUAACCUGCCCAUAAGAGGGGGAUAACAUCCGGAAACGGGUGCUAAUACCGCAUAGUUUUCUUGAUCGCAUGAUCGAGAAAGGAAAGACGGCCUUUGUGCUGUCGCUUAUGGAUGGACCCGCGGCGUAUUAGUUAGUUGGUGAGGUAAUGGCUCACCAAGACGAUGAUACGUAGCCGACCUGAGAGGGUGAUCGGCCACAUUGGGACUGAGACACGGCCCAAACUCCUACGGGAGGCAGCAGUAGGGAAUCUUCCGCAAUGGACGAAAGUCUGACGGAGCAACGCCGCGUGAGUGAAGAAGGUUUUUCCGGAUCGUAAAACUCUGUUGUCAGAGAAGAACAAGUUGGAGAGUAACUGCUCCAGCCUUGACGGUAUCUGACCAGAAAGCCACGGCUAACUACGUGCCAGCCGCUGC
rnacentral:rRNA from 1 species